UGAAGCGGCAACAGCUCAAAUUUGAAAUCUGGCUUCGGCCCGAGUUGUAAUUUGCAGAGGAUGUUUCUGGCGCGGUGCCUUCCGAGUUCCCUGGAACGGGACGCCACAGAGGGUGAGAGCCCCGUAUGGUUGGACACCAAGCCUGUGUGAAACUCCUUCAACGAGUCGAGUAGUUUGGGAAUGCUGCUCUAAAUGGGAGGUAAAUCUCUUCUAAAGCUAAAUACCGGCCAGAGACCGAUAGCGCACAAGUAGAGUGAUCGAAAGAUGAAAAGCACCUUGAAAAGGGGGUUAAAUAGUACGUGAAAUUGUUGAAAGGGAAGCACUUAUGACCAGACUUGGGCCGGGCGGCUCAUCAGGGGUUCUCCCCUGUGCACUCCGCCCGGCACAGGCCAGCAUCGGUUCUCGUGGGGGGAUAAGACCGUCAGGAACGUAGCACCCUCCGGGGUGUGUUAUAGCCUGGCGGACGAUACCCCCGUGGGGACCGAGGUCCGCGCUCCGCAAGGAUGCUGGCGUAAUGGUCAUCAGUGACCCGUCUUGAAACACGGACCAAGGAGUCGUCCAUUAGAGCGAGCGUUUGGGUGUAAAACCCGCACGCGUAAUGAAAGUGAACGCAGGUGAGAGCUUCGGCGCAUCAUCGACCGAUCCUGAUGUUCUCGGAAGGAUUUGAGUAAGAGUUUUAACGGACGGACCCGAAAGACAGUGAACUAUGCUUGUAUAGGGUGAAGCCAGAGGAAACUCUGGUGGAGGCUCGCAGCGGUUCUGACGUGCAAAU
rnacentral:rRNA from 1 species